rnacentral:rRNA from 1 species
AUUGAACGCUGGCGGCAUGCCUUACACAUGCAAGUCGAACGGCAGCACGGGGCAACCCUGGUGGCGAGUGGCGAACGGGUGAGUAAUGCAUCGGAACGUACCCGGAAGUGGGGGAUAACGUAGCGAAAGUUACGCUAAUACCGCAUAUUCUGUGAGCAGGAAAGCAGGGGAUCGCAAGACCUUGCGCUUUCGGAGCGGCCGAUGUCGGAUUAGCUAGUUGGUGGGGGAAAGGCCCACCAAGGCGACGAUCCGUAGCGGGUCUGAGAGGAUGAUCCGCCACACUGGGACUGAGACACGGCCCAGACUCCUACGGGAGGCAGCAGUGGGGAAUUUUGGACAAUGGGGGCAACCCUGAUCCAGCCAUGCCGCGUGAGUGAAGAAGGCCUUCGGGUUGUAAAGCUCUUUCGGCCGGGAAGAAAUCGCGCGGGCCAAUACCCUGCGUGGAUGACGGUACCGGACUAAGAAGCACCGGCUAACUACGUGCCAGCCGCCGCAGUAAUAC